rnacentral:misc_RNA from 1 species
AAAGCAAUUACUUGAAGAUGUGUAAUAGCAACAAAUUCCACAAAACCAAAUGUGUUCAAACAACAUUUAUGAUAAUCGUAUGAAAACUCUUCAUCAUUCACUACAAAUCGAGUUUACUUCUGUCCUCUAUUCAUAAAGUUCAAUAAGCGGCAUUUUCCUACACAUUCAAAAGUAAAUUCAAUGUAGCUCCAUCUAUCUCUUCUCUAGUUAAUCCUCCUUCUCAAUCUUGAACGUCUGCUAGUUCAGUUUUUUCUUAGAAGAUAUGGACGAAAAAUCUAUAAAGUUUCAACUGCAAAUACCUGGUUAAAGUGUUGUUGCAGCUUCUCAUUUGUGUAAUUAAUGGAGCAUUGUUAAAAUCAGUCAAACAAGCAAGAAUAUAAUGUUUUAGAAAGCCCAUUUAUACAUAUGUUGAAGCAUCAUGAUCAAGAUUCUGUUUAUUACUUCUUCAGUUGUGACCAUUACACAUUUUGAUAGUGCAUCUUCAAAAUCCUUAAGAUCACACAUCGAAAGCUCUGCAAUAUUCUGAAGAUGUAAUUUAGACUUGUCAUCUCUUAGCAUUGAUGAAUCAGUUUCUUUGCCCCCUGUGAACUGCUCUUUCUCACUAAAGCCAACAACAUCCAUGGCCCUCAUUGUUUCCAGAUAAUCUUGAGCAAUACUAAUACCUACUAGUUCAAAGAAACUCGCUCUAUACUUUUAAACCUCCUUCUAAGAUUAAAAAACUCCUUGGGUGCUGCACAUAGAAGGGAGAAACAAUGAUAGUUGCAUUCCGGAUCUGAAACUUGGCAAACUCGAGACCUUUCUAAGAGGUAAGUUCUAGUAGCUGCACCAGACAUUCUUCAAUUUUUGGCAAAAGAAAUUUCCAUAAAUUUACCAAAAUGGCUUGAUUUGUUAUUUCUAAAUGUUUUGGCAUUCCCAAAUGCUUCAAGUACUGGAUUUGACUGUAAGCAGCAUCAGCAAUAGAGAAAACAUGAGAUAUUAAUUCGCCAAGCGGUGCUCCCCCUUGAAUUGUUCCAUCAUGUUGCGAUCAUAUUGACGAGGAAACUUUUGGAAUGGAUUGAUGGCAAUGAUAAUACUUUUAGUAUAAGUGUGUCAUAAUGUCACAUUAUGAUUGAACCGCACAUAGAUACAAUCAUUCAUUUCUUCCUCUCACUUAUCUACAGAAAUAUGACCAUAAACCUACAUAGAUUUCGUUGAUUUGAUAUCUUGAAGCCAAAUUCAGCAAGAUGCCAGGCUCAUGCAAAUAUGUUAAUUUGGUAAUGUCAUCAAAUCCAACAGCAUGAGCAUUUUCAUCUAUGGGGUGUAUGUUUGAUAAACUCACUGUAACCUAGAUGAAUUGAAAAAUCAAAUAUCAGUAAGCAGUUACGACUGAAGACAUAGCCACUUACAGUUGUGUCUGCUGGAUUAAAAUUUUGUGACAGUGCAACAUAAGAGGGAACGAGACAGAGCUUACUAAUACUUUCUUAAACAAAAAAACAAUAGCAACUACUACGCUGAACAAGUUACCGUCGACUAUAUGAACCCCCACUUCUUCAUUUAGGCUCAUUUCACAUUAUCAUCUUCAUACAAGGAAAGCUCAUUAAUAAAUCAAAGUACUUCAUAUUAAAACAUGUCAUACAAGGAUAACUCAAUAAUAAAUCACUGCCUGUUUAUACCUUCACGUCUCUGUGUAGAACACGGUUAAAGUGCAAAUAUUCUACUGCGAGUAAUAGUUGAUCAGUCAUAUGCUGAGUUUCUCUUCUGGUAACAGAGCUCCUCUAGAUUUCCUUGUGCUCAUUUUCACAUCUCCUCCUUCACAAUAUGUCAAUAAGCAUUAAAUUGUUAGCAAGGCUAGCAUGUCAAGUUCCCCUGAAAGAAAAAUAAAGUCACUCUGAUUUUGAGGCAACUCGAUAUAGUAUUUUUCUCAAGUCAAGGAUAAUCAUUUCAGUUCAAACUCUUGCUCUAGAAGCUGAAUAACAUAAUACGUUCUCGACCCAAGCAUCCUUGUACUCCAUGAUAUA